GACUCACUGGAUAGACUACAAUUAAACUGCUGAGAGAAAUCAAAUAGACUACAAGAACAUAAGUGAUAUUCGAACUGAAGAUGCCUCGCACACGAAUCCAUCCAUCCAAGCCUUCUGAUCUCAGCAGCAGCCAGGAAUCAAUUUAUUCUUCUGUGGUGCAGAGAAGCCCAUCAGAUAUUGGCAAGCUGAGGGUGAUAAGACGCAUGAUUGGUCGUCAGGCGGACGGCUCUCGAGGGAAUGAAGAGGAGCAGAUUGAAACAUCUGAGGAAAGCCGAUGCUCCUCCACCUCCUCUGGUUCUACCCUCGAACCAGUGUGGGAGCUUCGGCCUACACCAAAGUCUCCACCUAAGGCUGCUCCACUUCAAGCCGUUCUACCUAAACCUGCUCUACCCAAAGCCAAACCACCUAAUGCCCCUCCUCGUAAAGCCGUUCCACGUCAAGCUGCUCCACCUAAAGUCACUCCAUCUAAUGGUGCCCCACGUAGAGUUCUUCCACUUGAAGCUGCUCCAUCUGUACAGUCGAGACGGCGUGACGCUGGCACCGGUACAAACAUUCAGGCAUGUGUAUGUCAGGAAUGUGGAUGCCAGGGAAGAAAAGUUCAGCCCAAAGCACAGAUUUUACUGGUUUUCCCUGGACAUCCAGCCCUUGGCUACAGGCCCACUACGACGAUCAGAUUCCCUGAAGUGUCACCUCUUGACAGGGCAUCCAACGCUACCCUCCCUCCACUGUCGUCAACCCGGUUUCAGCCAGCCCCAAGGACCCCUGGGAACCAGAG